rnacentral:tRNA from 1 species
AGAACAAGUUCAACCAUUCUGCCUAGAGUUGCCCCCAGUAGCGCCAGAUUCCUGAGCGGCUUUACUCGACCGUU